UGGCCGAUUUGGGGGGUCUUAAAAUUGCAAGUCGAGCGGACAGAUGGGAGCUUGCUCCCUGAUGUUAGCGGCGGACGGGUGAGUAACACGUGGGUAACCUGCCUGUAAGACUGGGAUAACUCCGGGAAACCGGGGCUAAUACCGGAUGGUUGUUUGAACCGCAUGGUUCAAACAUAAAAGGUGGCUUCGGCUACCACUUACAUAUGGACCCCCGGCGCAUUAGCUAGUUGGUGAGGUAACGGCUCACCAAGGCAACGAUGCGUAGCCGACCUGAGAGGGUGAUCGGCCACACUGGGACUGAGACACGGCCCAAACUCCUACGGGAGGCAGCAGUAGGGAAUCUUCCGCAAUGGACGAAAGUCUGACGGAGCAACGCCACGUGAGUGAUGAAGGUUUUCGGAUCGUAAAGCUCUGUUGUUAGGGAAGAACAAGUACCGUUCGAAUAGGGCGGUACCUUGACGGUACCUAACCAGAAAGCCACGGCUAACUACGUGCCAGCAGCCGCGGUAAUACGUAGGUGGCAAGCGUUGUCCGGAAUUAUUGGGCGUAAAGGGCUCGCAGGCGGUUUCUUAAGUCUGAUGUGAAAGCCCCCGGCUCAACCGGGGAGGGUCAUUGGAAACUGGGGAACUUGAGUGCAGAAGAGGAGAGUGGAAUUCCACGUGUAGCGGUGAAAUGCGUAGAGAUGUGGAGGAACACCAGUGGCGAAGGCGACUCUCUGGUCUGUAACUGACACUGAGGAGCGAAAGCGUGGGGAGCGAACACGAUUAGAUACCCCUGGUAGUCCACGCCGUAAACGAUGAGUGCUCAAGUGUUAAGGGGGUUUCCGCCCCCUUAGUGCUGCAGCUAACGCAUUAAGCACUCCGCCCUGGGGGAGUACAGUCCCAAGACUGUAAACUCAAAGGAAUUGACAGGGGGCCCGCACAAGCGGUGGUAGUCAUGUGUUUUAAUUCGAAGCAACGCGAGAAACCUUACCAGUCUUGAUCAUCCUCAUGACAAUCCUAGAGAUAGGAC
rnacentral:rRNA from 1 species